AAGACUAUACUUUCAGGGAUCAGAUACUGUCUGUUACUAGAGACGUUUCUGUGACUGUGAGGAGUACCUGAGACCAUGAGGGUGAAAGAUAGCAUCCUCUCCUGAGUGUGAAGCUGGUUCUUGAGCUUGCUUUUCUGCAGCUGUCUCUUGACUUUGUUGACCCUUCUUCUCUUCCUUUGGAAGAGGGAGAGAGCAAAGGCAACUGAGUG